AACGAACGCUGGCGGCAGGCUUAACACAUGCAAGUCGAACGGGCCCUUCGGGGUCAGUGGCAGACGGGUGAGUAACACGGGGGAACGUGCCCUUCAGUUCGGAAUAACCCAGGGAAAGUUGGGCUAAGACCGGAUAAGCCCCUUGGGGGAAAGGUUUAUCGCUGAAGGAUCGGCCCGGGUCUGAUUAGCUAGUUGGUGAGGUAAAGGCUCACCAAGGGGACGAUCGGGAGCUGGUCUGGGAGGAUGAUCAGCCACACUGGGACUGAGACACGGCCCAGACUCCUACGGGAGGCAGCAGUGGGGAAUAUUGGACAAUGGGCGCAAGCCUGAUCCAGCCAUGCCGCGUGAGUGAUGAAGGCCUUAGGGUUGUAAAGCUCUUUCGUCCGGGACGAUAAUGACGGUACCGGAAGAAGAAGCCCCGGCUAACUUCGUACCAGCCGCCGCCGUAAUAC
rnacentral:rRNA from 1 species